CCUCUCACUGGAUUUAAGGAGGCCAGAGGGUUACAAAUACUGGAGAAGCAGCUUUAAGAACAUAAGGAAAGGCACCAAGAGGGCCGGUUGCUCCGCUUGGACCACUGCUCCUCCUCCUAAUGCUUUCUACCUGCACUGAGCUGUCUUACACUGAGCUGCCAGAGGCCUGAUGUGAGUCACUGAGUCACUGCCGCCAUGGUUCAAGGUACUGCGGGGGUAGAAGGUAUGCCAGACACACAGGAGGUCUGCUUGAACUUACGAUCGAUGCACUGAUAAGGCGAGGAAUGAGUUAGUGCUGCACCGUACAGCAUUCGCAGAACACAUAUAGUCUGUCCAAUGCAGCGACGUCCAGAAUCAGCGGGCAGGAAGCCUCUCAGUCUGGCAUCCAGCUGCUCAGUCUUGAGCGAGAUUGGAAUUUCAAAAGCAAAACCUCAGAGAGGAGAAGAAAGUAAUAUUCUGCAGUGUGUUGAACAAAAUAUCCGGUGGGUCAGUCCUUACCGAAGGCAUAUGGAAAGUUAACAAUAAGAUACCACAAGCUGCCACAGUGAGGGGAAUGUGCAUUAAAUAACCAGGACUCUGAGCCAAAUGACAAAUUCAAGUCUAGGCAAAUCCUUGUGGCCUUAAGCCUAAACACUCUUUUAACAGAUGGUUUACAUCUUCCCCUUAAGAGAACAGGAAACUGAGCGACCAACUAGACGCUGCCUGACCCGCUGAGUUACUCCGGCGUUUUGUGUCUAUCUUCUACAUUUUGAUAAUUAGGAGCUAACUUAACGGAGCAGGGAAGGAGUUUGCGGAAUGAAGGGGGACGGUGCGCUGUUACAGACUCUAACACUCCCGCAACCGUACCAAACACACCUCCUGAUUAACCCCUUCCCCCUCUGAUGGUCUCACCCUGUUGGAGGGAAAAGAAUCAACGGAGUGCAGCAAUCAAGGAGAAAAGAGGACAAACAAAAAUAAAAUAGAGGGCUGUUACAACUUGAAUGUAAAAACGUCUGCGUUUAAUUAAUUAAUAAAAAACACUUUGGCAGGAAA